GCACGUACGCCAGUAUGUGUGGAGCCGUCCUUGAAAUACCACCCUUGUAGUGUUGAUGUUCUAACGUCGACCCCUUAUCGGGGUUGCGGACAGUGCCUGGUGGGUAGUUUGACUGGGGCGGUCUCCUCCCAAAGAGUAACGGAGGAGCACGAAGGUGGGCUAAUCACGGUUGGACAUCGUGAGGUUAGUGCAAUGGCAUAAGCCCGCUUGACUGCGAGAAUGAC
rnacentral:rRNA from 1 species